rnacentral:rRNA from 1 species
CGACGUGGAUAAUCUACCCGACAGUCAGGGAUAACAUUUCGAAAGGAAUGCUAAUACCUGAUAAGCCUACGCCCUCUUCGGAGGAAGUAGGAAAAGGUGGGGACCUUCGGGCCUGCCGUUGUUGGAUGAGUCCGCGGCCCAUUAGCUAGUUGGUAGGGUAAUGGCCUACCAAGGCUACGAUGGGUAGCUGGUCUGAGAGGAUGAUCAGCCACACUGGAACUGAGACACGGUCCAG